rnacentral:rRNA from 1 species
GACGAACGCUGGCGGCGUGCCUAAUACAUGCAAGUAGAACGCUGAAGGAGGAGCUUGCUUCUCCGGAUGAGUUGCGAACGGGUGAGUAACGCGUAGGUAACCUGCCUGGUAGCGGGGGAUAACUAUUGGAAACGAUAGCUAAUACCGCAUAACAGUAGAUAUUGCAUGAUAUCUGCUUGAAAGGUGCAAAUGCAUCACUACCAGAUGGACCUGCGUUGUAUUAGCUAGUUGGUGAGGUAACGGCUCACCAAGGCGGCGAUACAUAGCCGACCUGAGAGGGUGAUCGGCCACACUGGGACUGAGACACGGCCCAGACUCCUACGGGAGGCAGCAGUAGGGAAUCUUCGGCAAUGGACGGAAGUCUGACCGAGCAACGCCGCGUGAGUGAAGAAGGUUUUCGGAUCGUAAAGCUCUGUUGUAAGAGAAGAACGAGUGUGAGAGUGGAAAGUUCACACUGUGACGGUAUCUUACCAGAAAGGGACGGCUAACUACGUGCCAGCAGCCGCGGUAAUACGUAGGUCCCGAGCGUUGUCCGGAUUUAUUGGGCGUAAAGCGAGCGCAGGCGGUUAGAUAAGUCUGAAGUUAAAGGCUGUGGCUUAACCAUAGUACGCUUUGGAAACUGUUUAACUUGAGUGCAAGAGGGGAGAGUGGAAUUCCAUGUGUAGCGGUGAAAUGCGUAGAUAUAUGGAGGAACACCGGUGGCGAAAGCGGCUCUCUGGCUUGUAACUGACGCUGAGGCUCGAAAGCGUGGGGAGCAAACAGG